rnacentral:lncRNA from 1 species
UCAUGAUUUUCGAAGAUCAUAUGGAUAUUUAAUUUACAUGUUUUCCGAAAUUGUGCAAGCUGGAAAUUGGUAAAUCUCAAAAAGGUCGUGAUGUAUGGAUUAUUCUAUGUUGCAUGGACCCCAUGGAUUGUAUUGACAUAAGUGAUUGGAUCCUGCUGCAUGUAUGUUGAUGAUUGGAAAUGCAUAUAUAAACCAAAUG